AGCCGAGCGGUAGAAGAUCUUCGGAUCUUUGAGAGCGGCGUACGGGUGCGGAACACGUGUGCAACCUGCCUUUAUCAGGGGGAUAGCCUUUCGAAAGGAAGAUUAAUACCCCAUAAUAUAAUGAGUGGCAUCACUUAUUAUUGAAAACUCCGGUGGAUAGAGAUGGGCACGCGCAAGAUUAGAUAGUUGGUGAGGUAACGGCUCACCAAGUCCAUGAUCUUUAGGGGGCCUGAGAGGGUGAUCCCCCACACUGGUACUGAGACACGGACCAGACUCCUACGGGAGGCAGCAGUGAGGAAUAUUGGACAAUGGGUGAGAGCCUGAUCCAGCCAUCCCGCGUGAAGGACGACGGCCCUAUGGGUUGUAAACUUCUUUUGUAUAGGGAUAAACCUUUCCACGUGUGGAAAGCUGAAGGUACUAUACGAAUAAGCACCGGCUAACUCCGUGCCAGCAGCCGCGGUAAUACGGAGGGUGCAAGCGUUAUCCGGAUUUAUUGGGUUUAAAGGGUCCGUAGGCGGAUCUGUAAGUCAGUGGUGAAAUCUCAUAGCUUAACUAUGAAACUGCCAUUGAUACUGCAGGUCUUGAGUAAGGUAGAGGUAGCUGGAAUAAGUAGUGUAGCGGUGAAAUGCAUAGAUAUUACUUAGAACACCAAUUGCGAAGGCAGGUUACCAUGUCUUAACUGACGCUGAUGGACGAAAGCGUGGGGAGCGAACAGGAUUAGAUACCCUGGUAGUCCACGCCGUAAACGAUGCUAACUCGUUUUUGGGGCUUUAAGCUUCAGAGACUAAGCGAAAGUGAUAAGUUAGCCACCUGGGGAGUACGUUCGCAAGAAUGAAACUCAAAKGAAUUGACGGGGGCCCGCACAAGCGGUGGAUUAUGUGGUUUAAUUCGAUGAUACGCGAGGAACCUUACCAAGGCUUAAAUGGGAAUUGACAGGUUUAGAAAUAGACUUUUCUUCGGACAAUUUUCAAGGUGCUGCAUGGUUGUCGUCAGCUCGUGCCGUGAGGUGUUAGGUUAAGUCCUGCAACGAGCGCAACCCCUGUCACUAGUUGCCAUCAUUCAGUUGGGGACUCUAGUGAGACUGCCUACGCAAGUAGAGAGGAAGGUGGGGAUGACGUCAAAUCAUCACGGCCCUUACGCCUUGGGCCACACACGUAAUACAAUGGCCGGUACAGAGGGCAGCUACACAGCGAUGUGAUGCAAAUCUCGAAAGCCGGUCUCAGUUCGGAUUGGAGUCUGCAACUCGACUCUAUGAAGCUGGAAUCGCUAGUAAUCGCGCAUCAGCCAUGGCGCGGUGAAUACGUUCCCGGGCCUUGUACACACCGCCCGUCAAGCCAUGGAAGUCUGGGGUACCUGAAGUCGGUGACCGUAACAGGAGCUGCCUAGGGUAAAACAGUACUAGGCU
rnacentral:rRNA from 1 species